rnacentral:lncRNA from 1 species
AUGUGCUCCAACACCACAGGGACUAAGAUGAGUUUUCAACUUUCCUGCUCUUGGUCCCCAGAGAUGGACUUACAUCCAAGGAGUUAGGCUCCUGUGAAUCCUACAAAGCCGAGGCUGCUGACCAGAGCACUCAUUCAAGUUAUCUGAGUGGGGUAAGUCUAAUGAAUGUGUUCAAGUCUUGAAAGACAUUAGCAAUUAUCAUGCAAGAGACACGUUAGCAUUUUCACUUUUUUCCCUCUUAUCCAGUUUUUUUUUUUUUUAAAGUGAUAUGACUGGUUUGUCUUUAAGCUAAGUCUUUGAGUUAGGACUGGUGCUAAGGAUACCAAUGUGUCUUGAAUGCAUUUUGGGGUGAGGAUGUAGAAGUAAAUCUACUUACAACAACACAAGAGAAAUAGUGCCAGACAAGUGUCUGCGUGGAGAAAACG